rnacentral:rRNA from 1 species
UACGUAGGGUGCGUGCGUUGUCCGGAUUUAUUGGGCGUAAAGAGCUCGUAGGCGGCUUGUCGCGUCGACUGUGAAAUCCCGCGGCUCAACCGAGGAACUGCCUGUCAGACUGCAUGGCUCGAGACCAGGAGAGGUGAGUGGAAUUCCCAGUGUAGCGGUGAAAUGCGUAGAUAUUGGGAGGAACACCAGUGGCGAAGGCGGCUCACUGGACUGGUACUGACGCUGAUGCGCGAAAGCGUGGGGAGCAAACAGG